rnacentral:lncRNA from 1 species
UCUGUGACCACGCCUCGGCAGUGCUAGUCACACCUCCAAGUUUUGCCAGCUCCUCCCCCUCAUUCCGGGCCUCUCGGGAUCAGCUCUUCCUAUUGGCUAUGGGCCCCAUCGGUCGAUAGAAAACGGGCGGUGAUUGGCAAGUGAACCGGAGCAAACGACUUCCGAUCCAGUCUGCGCUGUUGCAGCUCCCGUUUGGGAUUUGAUUUGCAGCAUCUUUGAGCCUCUACGACAAAAAAACCGCGAAGCACGCCCAGCCCUCCCCCGGCACCCCGAAAAGCACCCACUCCCUCCCGGGGACACAGCUGGGCGCGUCCACACCCCCGCAGCCCCACACCAUGUUGUGCGGAAGGACUUCCACUCCCCGCCUGUGUCGUUGAUGUCAGACCCCAGGCCAGCCUCCGGGCGCUGCAGUUCUCCCGGCUAAUGCUGAGGCUGCGGCUCCGGCUCUAGCACAGGCACCAGCCGCCGCCGCACCCGGCCUCAGCGCCCACCGUCUGCAUGUGCCCGCCGUAGCCGUCUGCCCAGCCCGCAGCCCGCG